ACUACGGGGAGCAGCAGUGAGGAAUAUUGGUCAAUGGGCGGAAGCCUGAACCAGCCAAGUAGCGUGCAGGAUGACGGCCCUACGGGUUGUAAACUGCUUUUAUACGGGAAUAACGCGCCUUACGUGUAGGGCUUUGCAUGUACCGUAUGAAUAAGGACCGGCUAAUUCCGUGCCAGCAGCCGCGGUAAUACGGAAGGUCCGGGCGUUAUCCGGAUUUAUUGGGUUUAAAGGGAGCGUAGGCCGCAUGUCAAGCGUGCUGUGAGAUGUCCGGGCUCAACCCGGGCCUUGCAGCGCGAACUGGCGUGCUUGAGUCCGCGGAAAGCAGGCGGAAUUCGUGGUGUAGCGGUGAAAUGCUUAGAUAUGACGAAGAACCCCGAGUGCGAAGGCAGCUUGCUGCAGCGGAACUGACGCUGAUGCUCGAAAGCGCGGGUAUCGAACAGGAUUAGAUACCCGUGUAGUC
rnacentral:rRNA from 1 species